AUGGUGAAAGGGCAGAAUCUGGAAUGCAGAAACAAAGAGAAAGACAGAGAGACAAAUCCAAUCUUGGAGGGGCUCUCGCCCCUCCGCCGCCAUGGAGGCCAUGGACCAGAGGGGAAACCCUUCUCCCAUCUAGAGAGAAGGUCAAGGAAGAAGAAGAAGGUGGGCUCUCUCCCCCUUUCUUUCGAUGGCACUGGAACGCCGCCGGGGUCAUCAUCAUCACUGCAAUCUACACCAACAACUUCACCGCCAUCAUCACCAACUCUUCCCCCCUCUAUGCAGCGGUGUAACGCCUCUUUUACCCGCUGUAAUCUCUACUUAAACAUGGUGCUCAAUGCUAUAUAUUAUUUCUCAAUGAUGUAUGGUUAUCCUAUGAUGUUUGAGUAG
rnacentral:rRNA from 1 species